UACGUAGGGGGCUAGCGUUGUCCGGAAUCAUUGGGCGUAAAGAGCGUGUAGGCGGCCCGGUAAGUCCGCUGUGAAAGUCGGGGGCUCAACCCUCGAAUGCCGGUGGAUACUGUCGGGCUAGAGUGCGGAAGAGGCGAGUGGAAUUCCUGGUGUAGCGGUGAAAUGCGCAGAUAUCAGGAGGAACACCGAUUGCGAAGGCAGCUCGCUGGGACGUAACUGACGCUGAGACGCGAAAGCGUGGGGAUCAAACAGG
rnacentral:rRNA from 1 species